rnacentral:rRNA from 1 species
CCUACGUGAGGCAGCAGUGAGGAAUAUUGGUCAAUGGGCGCGAGCCUGAACCAGCCAAGUAGCGUGAAGGAUGACUGCCCUACGGGUUGUAAACUUCUUUUAUAAAGGAAUAAAGUGAGGCACGUGUGCCUUUUUGUCUGUACUUUAUGAAUAAGGAUCGGCUAACUCCGUGCCAGCAGCCGCGGUAAUACGGAGGAUCCGAGCGUUAUCCGGAUUUAUUGGGUUUAAAGGGAGCGUAGAUGGGUUGUUAAGUCAGUUGUGAAAGUUUGCGGCUCAACCGUAAAAUUGCAAUUGAUACUAGCAGUCUUGAGUACAGUUGAGGUAGGCGGAAUUCGUGGUGUAGCGGUGAAAUGCUUAGAUAUCACGAAGAACUCCGAUUGCGAAGGCAGCUUACUAAACUGCCACUGACAUUGAUGCUCGAAAGUGUGGGUAUCAAACAGGAUUAGAUACCCCUGUAGUC